CGGCCCGAGCGCCUACGCGCGCCCCUCCGGCGCUUGUCGCAGAGGCUGCCGGGAGACGUAGUCUUGUAACGCUCUCUCGCCGGACAUUCCUAAUGACUGGAGCUAGAGAUUCGCUGGCCUUGAAGAAGCAAGCUGUCAUGUUGCGAACUGCCUAUGGAGAAAACUAAAUGGCAGGGAACUGCAGACGGCUUCUAGAACUUGAGCGCAGCCUGCAGCUGACAACCAGUAAGAAGCCAGGGCCCUCAGUCACACAACCACAAGGAAAUGAAUUCUGCCAACAACCUGAGAGGUGGCCUCCAGAUGAGAAGACAGCCUGACUUAAACCUUGAUAGCAGUUUUGUGAGACCCUGAGCAAAGAAAACAGAUAAACUGUGCGUAGACUCCUGGUCUACAGAAACUGUGAGAUAAUAAAUGUGUCUUAAGAUACUAUGUUUAUGGUAAUUUAUUAUACAAUAGAAAACUAAUACACUAGACAUUGCUGGAUUAUUUCA
rnacentral:lncRNA from 10 species